AUCCCAGUUCGGACCGCAGGCUGCAACCCGCCUGCGUGAAGUCGGAAUCGCUAGUAAUCGCGGAUCAGCAUGCCGCGGUGAAUACGUUCCCGGGCCUUGUACACACCGCCCGUCACACCAUGAGAGUCGGGAACACCCGAAGUCCGUAGCCUAACCGCAAGGAGGGCGCGGCCGAAGGUGGGUUCGAUAAUUGGGGUGAAGUCGUAACAAGGUACC
rnacentral:rRNA from 1 species